rnacentral:lncRNA from 1 species
UCCACGGUCUCCGGCCCCAGUGGCAGCACUGUCACCCUGGUCCAGCCACUGGGCUCUGGGGUUCUCAGGCUGCCGCCAGCCGGCCUCCCCCUGGGCCUGCCCCAUGAACGGUCAGCACAGAUGGUUCCACCCGGAAGGGCUGGGUGGGGACACCCCCACGUCCUAGAGUUGGUUUCCCAGUGGCCCGUCUGGCGGGUGGCCCAGGCCGUGUCCGAGUGGCAUUGGCAGCUGUCUGGUGCCAGCCAGGAAUGGGGACCAGAGGGCGGGGUCUGCGGCUGGCGUCGGGCCCAGGGAGGCUCUGGGGUCAGGACAGCCCACCGUGUCUGCAUCCUCCCUGGCCUCCAUCACGGGUGCGGGGGCAGGGGGGCAACGCCGGCCUUCUCAGGCGGAGGGCCCUUCCUCAGGAAGCCCUGCCUCCCCGACCCCAGGACCCCCAGCUCCUGGUGCCUCCCUCUGGUGUGGCCUGGACUUUGCGGAACUGGGGUAUCUGUGUGGGGCCUGGGACACGGCCCUGCACAAGGCCAGCACCUGAAGGUGGCGGGAACGACGAGCAGAUGCUCGGGCCAUGCCCAGAGCCACAGAAACGCAAGGCCGCAGCUUCAGACCCGAGCUCCCAGCACCCACGGGCCCCAGCCCCAUCUGAAGCUGCGAACUGAAUAAGAUAUUCUGGGGGGACGUCUGGUGACACGCAUCCCCCCAGGCUGAGUGCAGGCCCGGGAACAAGGUCUGGAACCUAACACCCAGGCUUCGAAUCCUGCCUCUGCCGCUCCUCCUCCUGGAGGGCUGCUUGCCCUCUCUGAGCCGCAGUUUCCCCGCCUGUGAACAGGCCGGGCCGGGUCUCAGGGCUGCCGGGGAGUAAGUGACUGCGCAGCCCGCUGAGCCUGUCGCCAGCCGUGCGUGGUGAGCCCGCCCUCCAACAAGGACUGAAGUUACAGAGAGAAAACCAGGAACCACAGAGGACGGGGUUCAGGGGCCAGAAGUUGGAAAUCAAAGCGGCUGCUUCCGGAUGCCUGGGGAGAGGCCGG